AAGCUCGUAGUUGAAUUUCGGGGUUCUACCGUUGGUCGGGCAAUAGUCUGUACUGGCGUGUAGAAUUUCUACCUUCUGGGGAACCCAUCAUGUUAUUUAUUUAGCGUGGUGGGAAACCAGGACCUUUACCUUGAAAAAUUAGAGUGUUACAAAGCAGGCUUACGUCUGAAUACAUUAGCAUGGAAUAAUAAAAUAGGACGGUGGUCCUGUUUUGUUGGUUUCUGAAUCACCGUAAUGAUUAAUAGGGAUAGUUGGG
rnacentral:rRNA from 1 species